UAGGUAUUUCGUCUGCCGCUACAUUCUGAGUUCAAAUUCCGCCGAGGUCGACUUUGCCUUUCAUCCUUUCAGGGUCGAUAAAUUAAGUACCAGUUGUGUACUGAGGCUGAUCUACUCGACUGGACCCCCUCCCC